rnacentral:rRNA from 1 species
UCGAGAAUCUUCGGCAAUGAGCGCAAGCUUGACCGAGCGACGCCGCGUGCGGGAUGAAGGCCUUCGGGUUGUAAACCGCGAAAGUAGGGAGGAAAUCGCUGGGGGUUCUCCCCCAGUGUUGACCUAUCUUCAGUAAGGACGGGCUAAGUUCGUGCCAGCAGCCGCGGUAAUACGAACCGUCCAAACGUUAUUCGGAUUUAUUGGGCUUAAAGGGUAUGUAGGCGGCCCUUCAAGUCGGGUGUGAAAGCCC